CUGCAGUGAUGAUCAACUUAGGACACCUUUGGAUUAAUGAUGAAACCAACCUGUUUAUCCUGAGCAGC